rnacentral:rRNA from 1 species
GCCCAGACUCCUACGGGAGGCAGCAGUGGGGGAUAUUGCACAAUGGGGGGAACCCUGAUGCAGCGACGCCGCGUGGGUGAAGAAGCGCCUCGGCGCGUAAAGCCCUUUCAGCAGGGAAGAAAAUGACGGUACCUGAAGAAGAAGCCCCGGCUAACUACGUGCCAGCAGCCGCGGUAAUACGUAGGGGGCAAGCGUUAUCCGGAUUUACUGGGGGUAAAGGGGGCGCAGACGGCGAUGCAAGCCAGGAGUGAAAGGCCGGGGCCCAACCCCGGGGCUGCUCUUGGAACUGCGGGGCUGGGGUGCAGGAGGGGCAGGCGGAAUUCCUGGGGUAGCGGGGAAAUGCGUAGAAAUCAGGAGGAACACCGGGGGGGAAGGCGGCCUGCUGGACGGCAACUGACGUUGAGGCCCGAAAGCGGGGGGAGCAAACAGGAUUAGAUACCCCCGGAC